UACGAAGGGGGCUAGCGUUGUUCGGAAUUACUGGGCGUAAAGCGCACGUAGGCGGACUAUUAAGUCAGGGGUGAAAUCCCGGGGCUCAACCCCGGAACUGCCUUUGAUACUGGUAGUCUCGAGUCCGGAAGAGGUGAGUGGAAUUCCGAGUGUAGAGGUGAAAUUCGUAGAUAUUCGGAGGAACACCAGUGGCGAAGGCGGCUCACUGGCCCGGUACUGACGCUGAGAUACGAAAGCGUGGGGAGCAAACAGG
rnacentral:rRNA from 1 species